UCUCUGCAAGGUUACUGAAGUAUAGAGGGUGAAUUCUGCCCAAUGGUUGUAUAGUGAAACUGAGGACUAACGUCUAAAGCGAAACCCAACUGAAUGGCCGCGGUAACUCUGACCGUGAUAAUGUAGCACAAUAAAUAGCCAAUUAAUUGUUGGCGGGUAUGAAUGGAACCACGAGGGUCUUACUGUCUCAAGAGGAAAGCCGAUGAAAUUAUAGUUGUAGUGAAGAUACUACAUAAACAUUGUAAGACGAAAAGACCCUAUCGAGCUUUACUGGAUMCCGAUAGCGUUAACUUAAAAUGAUCGAUACUAAGUAUCCUAAUUUUGAGUUAAUAAUUUUUGUUGGUAGGACAGUUUAGUUGGGGCGACUACCUUUGAAUAAGAAACGAAGGCGAGCUUAUGGUAUACAAAGAUAAUCUCAUUAGCCUGACAGUGAGGGGGACACCCCUAGCUGGCACAAGGACUACGUCCUAUGUGGGCGAUAGUGACCCGAUAUGAUUGACCAAAAUAAAUAUCGAAAGCGGAUAAAAGCUACCGUAGGGAUAACAGCGUAAUAUUGUCGGAGAGUUCUUAUCGAGGACAGUGUUUGCGACCUCGAUGUUGAAUUGCGGUGCCCUGGUGCUGUAGAAGGUACCUUAGGUUGGUCUGUUCGACCA
rnacentral:rRNA from 1 species